rnacentral:misc_RNA from 1 species
GAUGAAGAACGCAGCGAAAUGCGAUAAGUAAUGUGAAUUGCAGAAUUCAGUGAAUCAUCGAAUCUUUGAACGCACCUUGCACCCUUUGGCAUUCCGAAGGGCAUGCUCGUUUGAGUGUCAUUGUACUCUCACACUUCUGAUCCUUUGGAUUGGGAGCGGUGGACUUGGGUGUUGCUGCUUUACUGUGGCUCACCUCAAAUGCAUUCGUGCAACUCUUGGUUGGACAUAGUACGGCGUGAUAAGUAUCUUCGCCGGCACCUCGCAAGAGGGUGGCUGAUCAGGAGCUCUGUGCUUUCCAACUGUCUUCAGACAACAACUGACAACUUGACCUCAAAUCGAGUAGGACCACCCGCUGAACUUAAGCAUAUCAAUAAGCGGAGGA